rnacentral:rRNA from 1 species
CGAACGCUGGCGGCGUGCUUAACACAUGCAAGUCGAACGGAAAGGCCCUGCUUUUGUGGGGUGCUCGAGUGGCGAACGGGUGAGUAACACGUGAGUAACCUGCCCUUGACUUUGGGAUAACUUCAGGAAACUGGGGCUAAUACCGGAUAGGAGCUCCUGCUGCAUGGUGGGGGUUGGAAAGUUUCGGCGGUUGGGGAUGGACUCGCGGCUUAUCAGCUUGUUGGUGGGGUAGUGGCUUACCAAGGCUUUGACGGGUAGCCGGCCUGAGAGGGUGACCGGCCACAUUGGGACUGAGAUACGGCCCAGACUACUACGGGAGGCAGCAGUGGGGAAUAUUGCACAAUGGGCGGAAGCCUGAUGCAGCAACGCCGCGUGCGGGAUGACGGCCUUCGGGUUGUAAACCGCUUUCGCCUGUGACGAAGCGUGAGUGACGGUAAUGGGUAAAGAAGCACCGGCUAACUACGUG